rfam:Papio anubis isolate 1X1155 chromosome 1, whole genome shotgun sequence.
GUCUCUGCGGCGCAAUCUGUUAGCACGUUCGGCUAUUAACCGAACGGUGGGUAGUUCAAGCCCACCCAGGGACG